ACAGCAGCAAUCAACACAGCCUUGUAAAGCAACUAUACCCCAAUUCAAAAAGAAGAAGAAGAAAAAAGAAAUCGUCACAAACAGUGACUUAAAACAGCACUGGUGUAUCAUCUUGUCCUGCUGGAGAAAGAUGCUCCUGAUGACAUCGGACCCACCCCGGGAUACUCCAGCAUCGUUUCAGCGUCUCGUGGUCCUUCAGCAUACCUGCAAAGUCUCUUCUGCCAGGCAAGUUUCAAAUCUGCAGUAAGCUCUGCGUGCUGUGCUCAAAUCUGCAGUAAGCUCUGCGUGCUGUGCUAAGUUGUGUCAGUCAUGUCCAGCUCUCUGUGACCCCACGGACUGCAGCCCACCAGGCUCCUCUGUCCAUUGGAUUUCCCAGGCAAGAAUACUGGA
ensembl:lncRNA